CCUACGGGUGGCUGCAGUGAGGAAUAUUGGUCAAUGGACGCAAGUCUGAACCAGCCAUGCCGCGUGCAGGAAGACGGCUCUAUGAGUUGUAAACUGCUUUUGUACGAGGGCAAACGAAGACACGUGUAUCUGUCUGAAAGUACCGUACGAAUAAGGAUCGGCUAACUCCGUGCCAGCAGCCGCGGUAAUACGGAGGAUUCAAGCGUUAUCCGGAUUUAUUGGGUUUAAAGGGUGCGUAGGCGGUAGGAUAAGUUAGAGGGGAAAUACCGAGGCUCAACUUCGGAAUUGCCUUUGAUACUGUUCGUCUUGAGAGUAGUUGCGGUAGGCGGAAUGUGUGGUGUAGCGGUGAAAUGCUUAGAGAUCAUACAGAACACCGAUUGCGAAGGCAGCUUACC
rnacentral:rRNA from 1 species